AUAGGCAUGCGUAGUAAAACAUAAGACAAAAGGAAAAUAUAUAAUUAUUUUCGUUCUGUCUUAUGUUUUAUUACGCAUGCCUAU